AUCACAGAACAACAAAAAAAAGGAAUUAAUUAAAACCAGGAAUAUUUUAGAUCUUGUCUCAGAUUUAAACUUAAUGAGAAAAAGAGUUUUAGAGAAAAUUGGUAAAACCAUUGGUAUGGUAGAAGAACGCAAAGCAUCAGUAGAAAAAAACCUCAUUAUGGCAAUGCCUUAAAUUUCUGAAGUACUGAGAUCAAAUAUUAGCAGAUUCACUCCGAAAGUCAUGUUUUCUCUCUAGAUUUCAACCAGUCAGCUAUUGAAGAGAUGGCAGGCAAUGAAUCUGGCUCCUUCUAUGGGAAGAAAACAGAAACACGUGCUGCUUGUCCGACUGAGGCAGGGGAAACAAGUACCUUCAUGGGUUGGGGGCAUUGGCUGAGCUCCCAUCCCACCACCAGCACCAACUUUCCAGGUGUGAGAAUACGGCAUCUUGGAACUGAUGCUCCAGUUCCCAGUUGAACCACCCCAGGUGAGGCUGUAUGAAGCAGAGAUGAGCUUUGUGCCAGUUGCGCCCUUGUGAGAUAGGUAAAUGAUUGUUGUUUUAAGCCACUAGGUUUUGAGUGCAGAAUAGAAACAUAGGGGCUGAUUAGUAGUUCUAUGAAAUGUCAUGUAAGUAGUGAGUCACAGGACCCCACACAUCCGAUGACCUUGUCACUCACUUUUCUUUUUUUUUUGUGAGACAGAGCCUUGCUCUGUCGCCCAGGCUGGAGUGCAGUGGCACGAUCUCGGCUCACUGCGUCGUCCACCUCCCUGCAACCAAUUCUCUUGCCUCAGCCUCCCGAUUAGUCACUCACUCUUCUAUCCAGGUCUCAUUAAUUCAUAGGUCUUUGUAGGCUUUUAGGCAGAGAGAAACCGUUUCCAAGGAGCUUAUCUCAAAGAACUGAAUCCAAGCAGCACACAGGAGAAAUGGACUUAGGUUGGAUGUUGCUGAGGGAAAAAUAAGGAGAAAGUGUAUUCUCUGUGCUUAAAGGACAUCGGAAUGGGAUCAGAACUCUUCAAAUGCACUCGGAGGCCAGUUUCCCCAAAGACUGAAUCAAGUUAAAAGAGGAAGGCAGCUUGGACUCACUUGAAAUAAAGCUGCUAGGAUGAAACGAAUGUAUUAAUAAAAAAACAAGACAUAAGAAAUGGUAAUAGUGAAGGGAAGAGAUCAAUCUUGUGCAGGGGCUUGUGUUGCAAUGCGGAAAAAAUUUUGUAAUCAGAAUGAAACACUAGUGAUCAUAAACAAUGGGUGUCAGUGAGGGCUCCUGGAGAGGCACAUGAUUCCCAUGACUCUGAUCCAUGGCGGGUGCUAGGAGUGGGAUACGUGGAGAGAUAGGGAAGCCGUGAAUGUUUGCCAGACAAAAAAGUUCCCUUGGGCAGGAAGGACCACUAAUGAGGCAGAGUUACAGUUGGAAACACAUUUAUGCAGUGGCUCAGUAUUUGGUACCAAUUCAACAAAGACAUGGCCCAUGGGAUAUGAUGUACAUCUAUCAGCCAUAGAAACUCUCUAUGCAAACUGCUCCAUCUCCCCGAGCCCAGGGCCUUCAAGCUUUAAGGAGACUAGGUUGAAAUUUGAGUCUGCGAGGCAUGUUUGUUGUGUCCCCUCAACCUCUGCUCCGUUGUCUUCCUGCUGCCCUUUUUAGGAAGGCCCAGGCAGAAUAGGAGCUGCUUGGACUGUAGUUAUCCUUAUUGUACUGCAAGCCCCCCUAGACGCAGUGGGAGCAUCUUACUCACACUACGGGUUCUUAAAAACUGCUUAUUGGCUGGGUGG
ensembl:lncRNA